GACGAACGCUGGCGGCGUGCCUAAUACAUGCAAGUAGGACGCAGUUGCGAACGGGUGAGUAACGCGUAGGUAACUGCCUAUUAGAGGGGGAUAACUAUUGGAAACGAUAGCUAAUACCGCAUACUAGUAGAUGGACCUGCUUUGUAUUAGCUAGUAGGUAGGGUAAUGGCCUACCUAGGCGACGAUACAUAGCCGACCUGAGAAGGUGGUGAGCCAAAAUGGGAUUGAGGGACGGCCGAGACUCCUACGGGAGGCAGCAGUAGGGAAUCUUGGGCAAUGGGGGGAACCCUGGCCGAGCAACGCAGCGUGAGUGAAGAAGGUUUUCGGAUCGUAAAGCUCUGUUGUUAAGGAAGCGGUACUUAACCAGAAAGGGACGGCUAACUACGUGCCAGCAGCCGCGGUAAUUC
rnacentral:rRNA from 1 species